GAAGACUAAGUAAUAAGAAAUCACAUAAAAAUACAACGACAUGCUAUAAAGAGGCAGAGUAAAACCAGUAAAGCGCAAUAAAACGAUAAAUAUCAUAAAAACACCUUAGUUCAGUUUAAGCUUCUAAAAAUACCUUUUUAACAGUUAAACAAGUAAAUGACAGGCAGCUACAAAAGAUAAACACAUAAAAACUGCCCCUUGGGCAUAAUGUCAACAAAAUCAUCCCCUCAAGCAAUAACAUGGUACAACACUAGCCCCUCGGGCUAUAUCUCAUAUCACAAUGGAUACCCGCGCUCAAUAGGGCAUACUGACUCCAGGAGGGACCAUUUACGGCCUAAGCAAUAUCAAGCCAUCUCAUGGCAUAAUCACUAGGCUCUCGACCUCAUAUCAAGCCACCUUAUGGCGUACAGCUCAGGCCCUCGACCUCAUAGUCAUAAUCAAUGUAUCACUGUUAUGGCAUGCAACCUGACCCAAAAGUAUCCUCACAACACGGGCCAUUGGCUUUACUCAGACAGGAUCUCAUAAGUCACUAAGGCAAUAGUAAAACAUAAUGCUCAACCCAAUUAUCAUUUAAAAAUGUCAUUUAAUAUGGUAAAACAGAGUAAACAUGGCUGAAUUAUGAAAACAGUAGAAUAUAGCAUGACUGAGUACAGGUACAUAAUCAAAUCAGUGGGGAAAUACCAGUAAAACUCCCAUAAGGGUCCAAAUAGUCUGCACGAAGCCCAAAUAUGGCAUUCAGCCCAAAACAUGAUGAUAGAAAAUUGUUUUCAAUCAAAUAUGCGCUAAAAUAGUCAUUCGGGACGCACUAAGUCACAAUCCUUAAAGGUGCACAAUCUCACGCCCAUCAUCUAGCGUGCUUGGCACCUCAACAUAGUACAAUGAUAUGAAAUCUAAGGUUUCAUACCCUCUGGACAACACUUACAAUCAUUCCUCACUUCAAUCCGGUCCAAACUCUAGCCUGGGACGCCUUUGCCCCUUGAAUCGGCCUCUGAAUGCUCCAAAUCUAGCAAAAAUCAGUAUAUAACCAUCAAAAUGUGCUAAGGGAACAAAGCCCACUCAAAAAUAAUCAAAAUACCACGCAAAUACCGAAAUUAACCAAACCCGAUCCUCGGGUCCACGUCUCGGAAUUUGAUAAAUUUUACAUCAUUAAACUCAUUAUCUCCCCACGAGUUUAUACAUAUCAAAAGUCCCAAAAUCCGACCACAAAUGACCCCUUAAACCCUUGCUCAAAGUCUCCAAUUCUCAAGCCCUAGUUUCCCAAUUUUUAACCUUUAUUUUUCAUUAACUAUAGCUCUAAUCCGUAAAAUAAUACCAUAGGAUUGAUUAUUAGGUUAAAAAAUCUUACCUCCAGACAUUAUCCCUUGAAUCCCUCUUCAAAAUCUCCUAAAAAGCUCCAAACCCGACUUGAAAUGGUGAAGAACAACUCAAAAAUCGUGAAGGAAAUAUUUUAUACUUUUUGGCCAACAGUUUUCGUACCUCCAGCCCUUUUUCCACUUCUGCAGUCCGUUUCUACGGCCAAAACCACCGCAUCUGUGAUUUUCACUUAAAUGACCAAUACCACAUCUACGGUUAAAAUCUCGCACUUGUGCUACGGCAGGUGCGCCCUCUUUGCCGCUUCUGCAGUUCUAGCUGCUUGCCUACUUGGCCGCUUCUGUGGCUGCCUUCCACUUCUACGGGCAUUGCACCUGCGACCUCCCAAUUGCAGGUGCGGUUAUGACAGCAGCAAAAUGCUUCAGCUCUCAAACUCAACUCUAUACCUUCCGUCAACCAUCCGAAUUCACCUCGAGGCCCUCGAGACCUUAUUCAAAAGCACCAACAAGCCAUAUACCACCCUUCUAACUUAUAUCAAUCCUCAAAACACCUCGAAUAACAUCGAAUCAACCAAAACACUUCGGAUUCAAGCAUAGGGUUAAUAGAAGAAGUUAAAAAUGUCAAACCUCAACCGAAAAUUGGACAGAACAAACUCCCAGCAACAUUCUCCCAACACUCACGCAACACAAUACUCCCAGCAAGGUGAGGUCCAAUCAAUUUUUUGCUCACCUCAAACAUUAGUGUAACUUAAUAGAAGAAGUUAAAAAUGUCAGUCCUAAUAAAAGAAGCCAACUGAAAAGGAGCAUGUAAACCUCCAACAACGGUUACUAAUUGUCAUUCAACAGGUUCAAAUUUUUACAGUUUCAGAACAUAUCUAUUAGCAAAAAUAGCUGAAAAUAUCAAAAGAAGCUCUGAAAUGGGGGGAGGGAUUCAGCAACAAUAACAGCACCUCCACAGACCAGCCAAAUAAAUCCAAACCUCAACCGAAAAUUGGACAGAACAAACCUAAAAUGCCGAAAUUCAAAACCCAACUACAAACUUUAACUCGAGAUUUAAUUCGGACUUCUUUUUUUGAACCAGAAAUCAAGAGAAAGAAACAAGGCUAGAAAGCUUUCCGUUUCAGUAAUUUUUGGCAAAAAUGAACUCGAAUGAGAGCUGAAACUCAAGCCAUUUUUUAAUCUUUUCUGAAAAAAACAAGAAAAAACAGACUGAAAAUGGCUUCAAGAAAAGUGACAACUCAAAACCCUAAAUAUUUUACUCGACUAUAUUCUGAAGAUUUUUCUCCGAUUUUUCCUUUCUGAUUUUCUCCUUCUAGCACAUAGGACUUACCUCAUAUAUAUAGCCUUCAAAAAUUCUCCCGAAUAUGCUAAACAGUCCGAAAAUCUCUCAAGUUUUUGAACAAUUUUGGGACAAAUGGGGGGCGUGGAUUGGUUCGCAUCUACCACGGCUCCUAUUCAUCCAACAAUUGUCCUUUUUUAUACAGAAAUCCGCAAUUUAGAAUAGAAUAUUCGAAUUCCUUCUGACAAAAACCUUUAGGAAUCAGAUGUCGUGGAGGGGGGGGGACCAAUUUGAGCGAACUCGGGUGAGUUGAAAGCGAGUUGGGGCCGAAUCAGUUGAAGAACAAGAUGAAUAGUGUAAAGGGAUGCCGCAUUCUCUGAUAUGUUAGGGUUAG
rnacentral:lncRNA from 1 species